rnacentral:rRNA from 1 species
AACGAGCGCUGGCGGCAGGCUUAACACAUGCAAGUCGAACGCCCCUUCGGGGGGAGUGGCAGACGGGUGAGUAACGCGUGGGAAUCUACCUAGUUCUACGGAACAACAGUUGGAAACGACUGCUAAUACCGUAUACGCCCUAUGGGGGAAAGAUUUAUCGGAAUUAGAUGAGCCCGCGUAAGAUUAGCUAGUUGGUGGGGUAAUGGCCUACCAAGGCGACGAUCUUUAGCUGGU